UUUAGGACUGUCAGAGUGAUUAAUGAGAGCUAGCCGUCUUUGCAAAUGCACUUGUUUAGUCUAACUGGCAGCUUCUAUUUUCCUAUUGAUUUAUUGCAGCCGUUGCCGGGCCUCGGUGUGUGCAGUCAGGGCACUUCACAACUGUGCCCUGUUUAAACAGGAAAAGCAUGCACCGUUUUUGUCCGGGAGGGAGCGAGCAGCCGAAAGUCUCUCCCCUCAGCGCAGUCUCCAGGGCCCCAAACCAACAAAGAAGACAUUAAAAACCUGCAGCCCAGAGGGAGAAGGAAACUGCCUCCCCUCGGUCGUCCCCAGUUCCAAGGUCAGCGGAGGCGCACCCUGGCCCCUGGACAAAGCCCGCCCUAUUGUCAGACUCAGCAUGCCCGCAUCCUCUCCUCCCGUCCCCCCAAACCAGCUGUCAGCCACGGAGUCCAAGGACAGGAAAGGCACCCAGCAGAGGGGGGAGGCCGGGGAGGGGGCCGAUGGGCUCGGCCAAGCUAAAAACAGAAUUGAAGCCGCCCUGCCGUCAGGGGUGGGAACAAUGUCAGGGGGGUUGUGGGAAAUUGAUGGAGCCCCAUGGUUCAUUUGGGGGCUUCCCUGGUGGCUCAGAUGGUAAAGAAUCCGCCUGCCAAUGCAGGAGACCCAGGUUCGAUCCCUGGGACGGGAGGAUCCCCUGGAGAAGGGAAUGGCAACCCACUCCAGUAUUCCUGCCUGGGAAAUCCCAUGGACAGAGGAGCCUGGCGGGCUACAGUCCAUGGGGUCACAAAAGAGUCGGACACGACUUAGUAACCAAACCACCACAACAUGGUUGAUUUCAACUUUUAAAAAGUAGGCGAUAUUGACUUCAUUCCACUUGCACAGUUUGUUUUGACAAAUGAUGUACCUAAUGACCAGCACAGAAAUGGCAACUUGAAAAUACAGACCUGGUGUUGGAGAGUCAGACUUCCAGGAGGUGGAUCACCAAGGCAAACAGAGGUUACGGGAUUCCUGUUAUGUGACCAGUGCAACGCCGGAUGCCAGGAGACACAGAAGAAGACUCAGACCAGAUUUCUGCCCAGUUUAGUUGGGGGAGACAAGACACAGUCACGAGAUGGGGAAUGAGAUAGAAUUCUAUACCACUGCAUUUAUGCUGAUCUGGUAAGCGUUCAGUUGUGCAGUGCAGACAGUGGGGAACUUGACCAUUUAUAAUAAGGGGCUAGUUGUGCAGAUCAGCGGUUGGGCUGCAGCAGCUGGAGGGAGAGCUUGCUGGGGCUCCCUUCCCAUGGGAGCCCUGACCUGUUGGGAGGCUCCCCAGUUCCCCUCAGUCCUGUCCUCUUCUGAAAGCUGGAAGAUGGAUGAGGCCUUCAUUCCAUGGUGAUGAGCAGGCUGAGCCAGAGCUCCAAGCCAGCAGAUCAAAGGACAGGCUCCCUGGAGUUCCCUGGGGGCCUAGUGGUUAGGAUUUGCUGCUUUCACUGCAGAGGCCUGGAUUCGAUCCCUGGUCCGGGAACCAUCCCCUUGGAAUACAAGGAACAGGCUUCCCUUAACCAGCUUGCACCUUCCAGAGCUGGAAAUGGUUUAUGCUUCUUCCUAGAUGAAGUGCCUUUAUAAGUUUUCCCAGGGGCAGUGGCCUAUCGCCAGCUUUAUUAACACUUCCCAAGACAGGAAAAGCUGUCGGUGGGUUUGGAUCACAGAGGCGCUGGGAAACCUCUUAAGAGAAAAGAAACGGAACCUGCCAGCCGAGUGGAAAUGAAGUGACUACAUGAUUCAAAACGGAGACCUAGGGUGUGAGUGUCCUCUGGUAGCUUGAGGGGGUAGAUGAAAGACUCUCCCCUCAGCGCAGUCUCCAGGGCCCCAAACCAACAAAGAAGACAUUCAAAACCUGCAGUCCAGAGAGAGAAGGAAACUGCCUCCCCCCGGUCAUCCCCAGAUUCAAGGUCAACAGAGGCACACCCUGGCCCCUGUUCCCAUCAGGACAGUAAAUGUGGAAGAUCCAGAAAAAGAAACCAUGUGAUUUCACCUCCGUGAUGGAGGGCCAGUGGAGGGUCCACAAGAAGAAUACUGUAAUGUGAACUUGCCAUCCAGGGAAAGAAGGAAGCAUUAAAAUACUUUGUUCAUUUGACAAAAUGCUGAGGAUACAGUGAUGCCGGUAUUUCAGAGGCUGCUUGGAUGCUUAACCUACAGCCAAUUGCUUUUGGAAAAUGGAACUGGCGAGGGAAGAAAUGAAAGGCAGAGGAAAAUCAAACUACAGUGGGGGACCUUUGCUCUGAGUGGGCGGUGGGGAUCUCCACCGCUCUUUGGAACAUAAAAUAAAAUGAUCCUCCUGGAGCUUAAA